GUGCUCGCUUCGGCAGCACAUAUACUAAAAUUGGAACGAUACAGAGAAGAUUAGCAUGGCCCCUGCGCAAGGAAAAAAGAACAUGAUAAUACAUUGUUAAACUUUAU